UAAGAGAACGAAGAGAUGGACCUUUCGACAACGGAACGGGAACCGCGACUAGCGAUGCCAAACGGAACACCUAUCGACCUCGACUCUCCACCGAUGACUGAAGUUGACAACUGUUGCUGCCGGAAUUUCCACUUCGAACCCAAAAUCGUUACCAAUCAAAGACUGAAUAAUGACAAACCAAGCUCUAAAAAAGGUGACGUGAGUUCUUUAGCUACUUAAGAGUCGUUGUUGCUAGUUUUCGAUGAUUUGGCGGCCAUUGGUGCUAUUUUCGGUGAGUCCGGUGGUGGAGGAACAACAGCCGAUCUACUGUGAAGGUGAAGGAGAAGAAGCAGGGGUGUGCUGGUGUGAGACGAAGGAGCAGAAGGUGGUCGGUGACAGCUGAAGGUGGCAUGGAUGCUGGUCGGCUAUGGUGUUUUAGAGAUCAGAGGUUGGGAAGCCAGGGGAGACUCUUGUCUUCAUGAAGAAGAAGCUAGCGCCAUUGGAGAAGAUGACUGGAGAAGCAGCGAUUUGGGUGGCUCUGUUGAUGUCUUCAAUUAUGGUUCUAGGUUUUUUUUGUUCUUUUUAAUGAAGAAGAUGGCAGCCCUCUCUUUCUAGGUCU
rnacentral:lncRNA from 1 species